rnacentral:pre_miRNA from 7 species
UUUCGGCGUUCCAGUGUGUCACACAGAUCUCGGUGGGACCUCCAAAUGAUCGAACCUAGUGGGGAAACCCCCACUCAAUUCCCAAAUUCGGCAUGUACCAAAAAUCACGAAGGACC